rnacentral:rRNA from 1 species
UACGGGGGGUGCAAACGUUGCUCGGAAUUAUUGGGCGUAAAGCGCACGUAGGCGGCUCGUUAAGUCGGAUGUGAAAUCCCUCGGCUCAACCGAGGAAGUGCAUCCGAAACUGGCGAGCUUGAGUACGGAAGAGGGUCUCGGAAUUCCCGGUGUAGAGGUGAAAUUCGUAGAUAUCGGGAGGAACACCAGUGGCGAAGGCGGAGACCUGGGCCGAUACUGACGCUGAGGUGCGAAAGCGUGGGGAGCAAACAGG